AACGAACGCUGGCGGCGUGCCUAACACAUGCAAGUCGUGCGAGAAAGUUCCUUCGGGAGCGAGUAAAGCGGCGCACGGGUGAGUAACACGUAGGUAACCUGCCCCCCAGUCUGGAACAACUAGAGGAAACUCUAGCUAAUGCCGGAUGAGACCACGAUCCCUUCGGGGGUUGCGGCCAAAGAUGGCCUCUACUUGUAAGCUAUCGCUGAGGGAUGGGCCUGCGGGCCAUUAGCUUUGUUGGUGAGGUAACGGCUCACCAAGGCUGUGAUGGCUAGCUGGUCUGAGAGGAUGACCAGCCACACUGGGACUGAGACACGG
rnacentral:rRNA from 1 species